UCAGUUUGAAGUUGUAGCUACCAGCAAACAACGACUUGGUUUGUUGGGUGUUAUAUUGAUACCCAGGUGGAGGUUGAUAUGUGUGACCAAGGUUGCUAUAUGAACUUUGGUUGCUGCUGGCAUUGUUAUAGAUGACCAGAUCACCGAAACUACCAAAUACUGCUCCAUAAGAAGAAUUACAGUAGAUUGCGUUGCCAUUUUUACCGUUAAUGAUCGGACAUUUGAACGGUUGCAUGUUGUUUGGGUUUCUUAAUGAGAACAAAAAUGAU